UUAUUUGUACAGGUCGUAGUGUCAAAUGUUCAUAGACUAACGUUAUCAACACGUGACAUAUUUCAGUGCUGUACAUAUUUGUUUCUCUACAUAAUAGACGGGAUACAGCCACCUCCACUGGGCACGCGCACUUCAAAACCGUAUAAUUUGCGUCACUCUAAAAACAGUUGAUUUAUAAUUUGUAUAAUUGUAAGGUUAGGUUUAGGGUUUGGGUAGGCGUAGGGGUUAGCUAAUGUAAUUUAUUGGAAUUCUAUGGCGAGAUGUUGCACCACUUCCGGCCGUAGCUGCAUCCCUUCUAGCUACAACCUAUCUGCAAAGAAGAAGAAGAAGACAGAGCGCAAUGCACGACGUAGAAAUGGCUAAACAACAUUAAAGUUCGAACCGCGGUCACUUUUGAGCGAAAGGAUCCACCGAUGCAAACCACAAAACACCGCUGUAGAUGAAAAAUCUGUCAUUUCUCGUGUAACGGAGGCCAGCUGUUAGAGGGAGAGCUGUGUGUGCACGCAGAGGCCGCGAGCUCGUCUCUCCCUCGCCGGACCGAUGGCGGUUUCGAGGCUAGGAGGGGUUGUAAGUAAGACCCGUCAUCACACGUGUGAUUCUGUUCGCAAUAACGUCAGCAGUGUGCCGACGAGACAAUAACGGAGCCGUUUUUGGGCUUGUAUUAUUAAGGAUAAGAUUAGGCACAAAUGUGUGCUUAUUGUGAAUGGUGACCGAGUCAAUUCACUUGUCUAAGAAAAAUGAUGAAAUAAAUCCUUCACGGUAAACUGUUUGGCUUUCAACGUCUGUUAAUACGUGGUGGUAGAUCAAUGAAAAUAAAACUAAAAACACAAUACACCAUACACAAACACUUUAUUUGUCAGUGUCUUUAUUCCUUUAACUUCCUCUUUUUGACAAGAUCUCCCGAGCGUUUACAACCUUUAAAAGUCCAUGUCUGGUAUGUGCUCAAAAUGGAAAGAGACAGUUAACCUAAUAUAAAUCUGUUGUGUAACUGUUUGACAAACACACUUCUAAUGCACACUCUUUUUUUAAAGACAUUCCCGCAUCCCUGAGAACACCCCCCAGGAAAGAAUGAAUUCGGCGAGAGUCCCGUCUGGUCGUGAGGAGAGUAUCACUACAGGUGAGUCAUCAGAAAGUUUGUCAGUAUUUUAUGAGAUCCAAGCGCCUGUGAGAAGGGCGUUGUGUGUUUUUACUGUCCCGGAAAAACCUGUAGGCUCUUUGGUGCGAAAAGCAGGCGGUUACGUCAUCUCGGGGGAAUGCGCUUUGCGGUUGUUCAACGGGUCAUGCACUCCAUAACAACAGCUGCCCAGCUGGACAAGGAAAAACCCAACGCUCGCUUCAGUGAUGGAAAAGUAGAUAAGCAGGGAGGUACUUUGCAGCCUGUCCGUUUACCAUGGGAAUGGAACUGCCGCCGGUGGAGAGGAAACAGGGGUCUCUGUACACACUUUAUCCUGACCGUUCUUCAUCACUCAGACCAGGUGGACAUCUCCAACACUUUGGACGGGUCGCUGGAUCACCGCUUCUUUCACCACAUCCACAGCCAGACUGGAUGUCCGUACUGUAUUUAUUUUUCAGGGCAUGUGUGUGUGUUUGUGUGUGUGCGUGUGUGCGUGCGUGUUUAUUUAAGCUGACCGCAGAGGGGUUUCCUGGGCAGAGCCCGAUGAAGACAUACCAGACGGUAUGUGUAUGGACCCAGAGGGUGUCAGUGGGUCGCCUGCUACCAUGGAGGAAGAGAUUUGCGCAUUGACCCACAAACAGGCACCCGACUGCAGACGGUGAAACUGGUAGGAGGAGACCACCUCGUGUUGUGCUGGUGGAAAAGAUCACGGUGAUCUGUACAUCACCAACAGGCCGUUUAAAGACAUGGAUGGAGAUUCACUGGCCAUACAGCCUUUGGCUGGCUGCCUAUUUAAGGUCACGGAUGUGGGAGUGACAGCCAUUUCAUCGUUCUCGUGUACUGGAUAAAAACUAAGAAGACAGCGAUGAUGUUUGUUGAUACGUUACCAUUUUUUCUGAUGAAUCAGCAUUGAUUAUUUGACCACCGUUGUAACCGUGCAACCGUCGCUUUAAUGCAGGAUAACGUGGGACAGAUGAAAAUCUUUGUUUCGUGGUAUUACACACAGGAAAAUAUUUGCCUUAAACUGAUUUGAUAGACCCGAUCAGUGGAUAUAAAAUGCAAUUAUUCACAAAUCCACUUUUUAGACGUGACCUCACAAAAGUAGAACAAUUGUAAACGUUUUCUAAUCCUGCUUACAUUAACCAACUCUGUGAACAAAAGUAUUCAUGAAUGAUUUCCAGGGAUGGAUUUGAUAGCGAUCCUGAUUCCACAUUUGCCAUGUUUAUUAUUGAUCAUCUCAACGUGGGGGAAAAGGUGGACUUCAUGUUUGUGUGAAUCUUAAACAUUCCCCUAGAAAGUGAAGUAAACACAAAUUGACAUUUUUGGUAAUCUGCUGUAUUUAAAUGAGUUUGAAUCCCAGUGAUGUUUUAAAGGCUGUAGCGCUUUAAUCACGAAAGCGCACGCCUCCAAAUAAAGAUAUUUUCUUGUA